ensembl:lncRNA
AGCAGCCUACUGGUCGCAGUGCUAGGAGUUGUAGCAAUAACAUGUUCAAAAUGUAGUCCAUGACACGUUGCGCUAAAGACACACGCGGGCACCCGUAGUCCGUGACGUCAUGAACCCGCAUGGCUGAUAUCGGGUGAAUGAACACAACUUUUACAAAGUUGGUAGUAAACAACAACCUUGACAGAGGAUUACUCGGUCCGACAUCACUCCACGCCCCCCGGAGAAUACACUUCAUCGGCGGUCCCUCAGAGUCCACCGUGCGGGGUCCCACUGAGGCAUGACCAUGUCCCGGUCCCGGUCUCCGGAGGUCCAGGGGUCCAGAGGGACCCUCGUCCCCCAACACCCAGAGGUCCGACCGGAGCCCCAAAUACAGGGGCUCGUCCAAUCGCGUACAUAUAGAGUACUGUACCAGGAGACUGAGUGUUCUGUCUCAGCCGUGCAGACCCCCAGACGAUGGACCUGCGACCGCUACUCGGUCUUGACUAGCGGGGACUCUCCCGGGGGACGAGGUCACCCAGGACAUCAUCUGGGACCCCACCUCCCCCACCCAGCCCGGCCCCAGUACGUACCCUCACUCACAGGGGGGUGGGACAGAAUGCUGGUGCUGUAAUGAAGCCUGUACGAUCAGCUGCUAUCAUGUGUUUCCAGGCGGGGGUUCCAGGACCACCAGGAUGGUGAAGAUAUCCGACAUAGUGAACCGCAUCGCCCCCCAAGGUCGGUACAGCUACCGUCCACCGGGACGUCCGGCCGGCGCCGUCGCCCCUCUUGCAGUGGAUGGGCGACUGCGGGGUGUCCUGCACCCCCGAGCCCCGGACGCACCGCGCCCGCAGGCGCUCAGUCAGGCAGAGCAGUGUGGACGGCCUGGUGGAGCUGGCCCGAGCCUUCGACCGGAACAUGGAGCGCUCCGACGACCUGGCCGCCGCCCCUCGUCUCCACGACGACCUGACCGCUGCCCCACGUCCCCACGGCGACCUGGCCGCUGCCCCACGUCCCCACGGCGAUCUGGCCGCUGCCCCACGUCCCCACGGCGACCUGGCCGCUGCCCUACGUCCCCACGGCGACCUGGCUGAUGACCCCCGUCCCCACGGUUACCUGGCCGCUGCCCGGCGUCCCCACGGCGACCUGGCCGCCGCCCCUCGUCCCCACGGCGACCUGGCUGAUGACCCCCGUUCCACCAGCAACCUGGCCGCAACCCCCCCUCCGCUUCCCCCCCCCUCUGAGUCGCAGCGGGUGGAGGCGGAGCUCCGGGCGCUGUUCGACAGCUCCACCCAGAAGGUCAGUGGGGCCCUGAGCCAGGGGACCCUCAGCGAGGGGCCCCUCAGUCAGGGGUUCAGCGGGCCCCUCAGAAAGGGGGUCAGUGGGCCCCUCAGCCAGGGAGCCCUCAGCCAAGGGGCCCUCAGCGGGCCCCUGAGCCAGGGACCCCUCAGGCCCUCAGACCGGCCCCCGGGGGUGGCGGUCCGGGGCCCGGGGCCGGUGGUCCAGGAUUUUGAGGAUGACUUUGAGGACGACUGGGAGGACGAUGACCUGAUGAACGACUCGCUGGUGGUUGCCACGACCUCAGGGGCUCCCCCGGGGGUCGACUCCUCCUGCCCACCCCAGGGGAGGACUCCCGGACCCAGGGGCGGCUGUCCCGGACCCAGGACCCCCCAGCGCAGCACCUUCAGACUGGAGCCCAACCCAAGGUGUCUGGCACCCCCCGCCUCAAUCAAUCACAGGUCAGAGCACCUGCAGGCAGUUCAACCUGUCAAAAGGCAGCCCGUUACCACGGUGAUGGCGCUAACAAUGGUGACACCAGUAACCACGGUGAAGCCGGUAACCACGGUGAAGCCGGUAACCACGGUGAAGCCUCAGUCGAGCGCGGCGGUCCAGGGCCCCGGGGCCCCGGACGGCUGGUGGGACGAGGGCGGAGACGACCAGCUGCUGCUCCAGGUGUGUGAGGACGUAGAGAAGUUCUCCAACAGCCAGCCCUCCUCGGCCCCUCAGGCCCCUCCCUGCGGGCGGGGUCACCCCAGCACGCCCGCCCGUGGGCGGGGCCUCUCCACCACGCCAGUGGCCAUCGGGCCCGCCCCCCCGCGGGGCGCGGGCCAGCCGCUGGCGUGCGGGUACAGGCGCACUAACUCGGCCCCGGUGGCCGGCGGGAGGGCUGCGAGCGGCCAGGGGGGGGACGCCCAGACGAAGGGCGCUGGGGUCACAGCCGACCAAUCAGCUCUCUCUCAGAGCCAUCCCGGCAGCCAUGUUGGACCACGUCACCUCAGAGACGCUCCCGGGACAUUCCGCCCGCAGACGGUGACCUCCAGACCCUCAGGAAACUCCCAUCAUGCAACAUUCAAGAGGCACUUCUCAGACUCCUCCGCCAUCAGCAGCAAAGUGGUGUCGACCGGUCUGGUGAGCGUUCAGUUGAUCUCCAGGUGCUCGGCUGCUGACAUCGAGAGGAAGAAGCAGGAAGCUCUCGCCAGGAAACGCAAGCGGAUGCAGAACUCCCAGAAAAACGAGACCUCCUGAAGAGCUGCUACUGUCCACUCAACCCCCAGGAGGGUGUAUUCUCGUCCAGAUCAGUGAUCGUUGCUCUGCUGGAUUAUUCCUCCAUGCUAUCUGUUUACAUUCCAGUGACAGCGGUUUUGUUUUAUUGCAUCAAACCGUCGUUGUCCGAACUCUCCCCAUGAGGUCAACCCUCCGUUGCUGGGGGUCAAGCCACCAUGUGUUGAGUAGAAUUCCAGAUGACCAGGCUCUUAAGACUAUGACAGCAUGAAGCGCAACACACCUACGGGAUCCACAAAGUCACCAUCGUCAGGUGGCCAACAUUUCUUUAAAGUCGAUGACCAUGAGACAUCCUGCCAAAUCACUGUUGCCUUCAUAUACGUACUGCUAUGUAGCCAUGCUAGUUAGCCAUGCUAUGUAGCCAUGCUAUGUACCAACGCCGCACUUGCACUGUUUGUACUUAUCUUCGUGAUGGCUAACCCUUUUCGACCAAACCCAGAAUAAUAAAGUUAUUCCACCUUAAGCCUGACUGCUUCCUAACUGACUCACAAAAUGGCCGCCGCCACAUCAGAAAAACCGAGAGGCCGCAUCCAGACCCUCUCCAGACCCCCAGUAGCACUACCCCCGUUCCUUAUUCUUCGACAGGCGACGCCUGACUGACACUCUGACCUGAGCCCCUUAAUGAACACCUGGACUCCCAGCUGCAGGACAGCACCCAUCCAUCACCUGGCUGACAC